rnacentral:rRNA from 1 species
UACGGGGGGGGUAAGCGUUGUUCGGAAUUACUGGGCGUAAAGGGCUCGUAGGCGGCCAACUAAGUCGGACGUGAAAUCCCUCAGCUUAACUGGGGAACUGCGUCUGAUACUGGAUGGCUUGGAUUUGGGAGAGGGAUGCGGAAUUCCAGGUGUAGCGGUGAAAUGUGUAGAUAUCUGGAGGAACACCGGUGGCGAAGGCGGCAUCCUGGACCAACAUUGACGCUGAGGAGCGAAAGCCAGGGGAGCAAACGGG